rnacentral:lncRNA from 1 species
GUCUUGUUUCAUUUUUUUACCCUAUAUUUUGCCUUCCCAAUCUCCUACCGCAGUAGAUAUUAACUCUAUAUCAGAUAGAAUUGGUCUUGUACCACAUAGAAUUGGUCUGUUUGUAGUUUAAUUAAUAGUAUUACCAUAUAAACCUUAGCCCUUUCUAGCUUCUUUCAAUCAACAUUGUUUUUAAGGUCUGUCUAUAUGAUUGUAUUACUGGACAUUGAGUUUGUGGUUCUAACUGCCGCAUAGUUGUCUCACCAGCACACAAGGGACAUCUCCUUAUUUAUCAAGAUCUUUUGUAUGUUAUGAAAUAGUUUUAAUUUUUGUCUUCUUGAAAAUUUCAUGCAUUCUUUGUUAGGUUAAUUCCUAGAUAAUUCAGUUUGUUUCUAAUAUGAAUGGUAUUUUAUUUUCUAUUAUAUUUUCUAGCUGAUAUCCCUGUCAUCUGGGUCUCUGCAUCUGAUCAUAACUGAGAGGUGACCCAGAGAUGUAAAGUCUGCAACCUCAGAUGCUGGAUGAGAAGUUAUAGGGCUAGGGCCAUUGUGUUCUUCAACUCUUCAGUAUUUCUCAAUACACAUCGUCUCAGAGUUUAGAAGCACACUGAUGGCCUGGAAUGACCCAAGCCUUAGGAAGGUAGCAAAAACUUCAGAAAGCUGUUUGAGCCUUAAUGAGAAAAUGGACUCACACAUGGCUCACAAUGAUAAGGAAUGAAGGUGCUUCUCCAGCUCAGCCAGGAAAUGACUGGUCAAGGUGAGGUCCAAUGACAAGUCCACUACCUCCUGGGUUUGCCACUGGACUGCAAGUCCUCUCCUGGCAGCUGAGGGGCGGUCCUA